UACGGAGGGUGCAAGCGUUAAUCGGAAUUACUGGACGUAAAGCGUGCGCAGGCGGUUUGUUAAGUCCGCUGUGAAAUCCCCGAGCUCAACUUGGGAAUUGCAGUGGAUACUGGCAAGCUGGAGUAUGGUAGAGGAAGGUGGAAUUCCCGGUGUAGCAGUGAAAUGCGUAGAGAUCGGGAGGAACACCAGUGGCGAAGGCGGCCUUCUGGACCAAUACUGACGCUCAUGCACGAAAGCGUGGGGAGCAAACAGG
rnacentral:rRNA from 1 species